UACCAGAGUACUAUGAAUGUUUAAAAAUUUAAAACUCAAAGAACUUGGCGGUGUUUUAGACCACCCAGGGGAACCUGUCUCGUAAUCGAUAAUCCACGUUGUACCUGACCUCUUUUUGUUUUCAGUUUGUAUACCGUUGUCGUCAGGUAACUUUUUAGAAACUAGAAGUUAGCAAUUAAAAUAUUGGUAAUUUAGUAUGUCAAAUCAAGGUGCAGCUAAUAAAGAGGGGAGGAUGGGUUACAAUUAUAUAAUUCAUAAUGACGGAUAAGUAUAUGGAUAUGUGUUAAGUUAUAAGGAGGACUUGGAAGUAAAUUAGGAUAUAUAAAUAAUUUGAAUUAGGCUCUGAGACGUGU
rnacentral:rRNA from 1 species